ACGACAAUCUUGUACCACCACAGCGUCACACAAGAGACCAAAUUAACUGUAUGCGGCGUAAAGAGUGACACUACAAUGUCACAGUAACUAGGACCGAAAUGCAACUAUGCUGUCAUAAGCUCAAGGUGCACUUAAGCCCGCCUCUAAGGUGGUCCUAGCACUCCUGAUUGAUUCAACUCCACGAAAGCUAGGGCACAAACUGGGAUUAGAUACCCCAUUAUGCCUAGCCCUAAAUCCUGAUGCUUACCGUACCAAAGAAUCCGCCUGGGAACUACGAGAACAAACGCUUAAAACUCUAAGGACUUGGCGGUGCCCCAAACCCACCUAGAGGAGCCUGUUCUAUAAUCGAUAACCCACGAUUCACCCGACCACCUCUUGCCAGAGCAGCCUACAUACCGCCGUCGCCAGCUCACCUCCCCUGAGAGCCCAACAGUGAGCACAAUAGCCCAACCCACUAACAAGACAGGUCAAGGUAUAGCCUAUGGGGUGGAAGAAAUGGGCUACAUUUUCUACAAUAGAAAACCUACGAAAGAGGGUAUGAAAUAACCCCCGGAAGGCGGAUUUAGCAGUAAAGGGGGACAAUAGGGCCCCCUUUAAGUUGGCCCUGGGGCACGUACAUACCGCCCGUCACCCUCCUCACAAGCCACCAACUUUUAUAACUAAUAAGCCUUACGGCUGAAGAUGAGGUAAGUCGUAACAAGGUAAGUGUACCGGAAGGUGCACUUAGCACAC
rnacentral:rRNA from 1 species